rnacentral:lncRNA from 1 species
CAAAGGACAGGCUCAGCUCAGCCUGCACUAUUCCCACCUACCUUACCUCACCCCUGGUGGGCAACAUGGCCCUGCAGAGCCCUGGUGUCCCAACCAGGUCAGGGCCGCAGGCGCACGGUGGAUGCAGCCAGGAGGCUGGCAUGCAAAAAGCAAUGCCCCUCUGCAGAAUGACAGAAAAAUCUGUCAAAAUAAAUGGUUUCUGACUCCCAAACUGACGUACUUGGGCAUCAGACUGCCUUUCUUCUCAGUAACAUAUGGGGAAAUGAGCUUGGGGACCACUAGGGAGUGUGAGUGAAAGCCAAAACUGCCAAGUGCUCUGUGUUGCCUUACGGGUGUGCGAUGUACUGUGGUGUUUGCGGAAUAGUGGUGUGUUACCAUGCAACAGCAGGUACGUCAGAGUUUGCAAGACCAGGGUGUUUAAGACGAUGGCUUCUUGCUGCUCAAGGAGCUGGAAUCGACCUUGAACCUCAUUUGAUUGCACAUGGGAAGAAGGUGCGGCAGAUAAUGAGGGAUGUCACAGCAUGGAGCUCAGUUUUAAAUCUGAAGAACAGUUGAAUGCUAUGAGGGACUAACUGGUUUCUCCGAGCUCACACAGCAAAGAUGAAAAAUUCCAUAUCCUGACUUCAGUUCAUGCCCUUCCCCAGGUUUCUCCUCCUCCAUGUGUCUGCACGCUCAUCCUUCAUCCCUCACAGUGGGCAAAUAGAAGGAAAAUAUUGCUGGUAAAAUUGUCUCUCCAAUGUUGCUGACAAGUAAUCUGUCCGUUGCUUAUUUUCAAUAUACACUGAGCUGGAGAACCUGCUAGUGUGUGUGUAUUUCUAAAGGUCUUGUAGCUGAUAUGGAAAUGUCUGACUUCUCUGAAUUAGCUGGACCUAAAAUUACAGUGAGUUGUGUGUGUGGACUGACAUUUCCAUUAGGCUUUGAGGUCAAAAGCCAUAUAAAAAUAAAAAUCCUCCAUAAAAUGUAUAUAAAUGAGCU